AUUGAACGCUGGCGGCACGCUUAACACAUGCAAGUCGAGCGGUAGCAUGAGUAGUAGCAAUACUACUUGAUGACGAGCGGCGGACGGGUGAGUAACACGUAGGAACUUGCCCAAUAGAGGGGGACAACUAAGGGAAACUUUAGCUAAUACCGCAUAUACUCGAGAGAGGAAAGCUGCCGCAAGGUGGCGCUAUUGGAGAGGCCUGCGUCUGAUUAGCUAGUUGGUGAGGUAAAGGCUCACCAAGGUGAUGAUCAGUAACUGGUCUGAGAGGACGACCAGUCACACUGGGACUGAGACACGGCCCAGACUCCUACGGGAGGCAGCAGUGGGGAAUCUUGGACAAUGGGGGCAACCCUGAUCCAGCGAUGCCGCGUGAGUGAAGAAGGCCUUCGGGUCGUAAAGCUCUUUAGGUUGGGAGGAAGGUUGGUAUUUUAAGAGAUAACCAAUUUGACUGUACCGACAGAAUAAGCACCGGCAAACUCUGUGCCAGCCGCCGCAGUAA
rnacentral:rRNA from 1 species